AUUGAACGCUGGCGGCAGGCCUAGCACAUGCAAGUCGAGCGGAUGAAGGGAGCUUGCUCCUGGAUUCAGCGGCGGACGGGUGAGUAAUGCCUAGGAAUCUGCCUGGUAGUGGGGGAUAACGUCCGGAAACGGGCGCUAAUACCGCAUACGUCCUGAGGGAGAAAGUGGGGGAUCUUCGGACCUCACGCUAUCAGAUGAGCCUAGGUCGGAUUAGCUAGUUGGUGGGGUAAAGGCCUACCAAGGCGACGAUCCGUAACUGGUCUGAGAGGAUGAUCAGUCACACGGGAACUGAGACACGGUCCAGACUCCUACGGGAGGCAGCAGUGGGGAAUAUUGGACAAUGGGCGAAAGCCUGAUCCAGCCAUGCCGCGUGUGUGAAGAAGGUCUUCGGAUUGUAAAGCACUUUAAGUUGGGAGGAAGGGCAGUAAGUUAAUACCUUGCUGUUUUGACGUUACCAACAGAAUAAGCACCGGCUAACUUCGUG
rnacentral:rRNA from 1 species